GGUUAAGCGACUAAGCGUACACGGUGGAUGCCCUGGCAGUCAGAGGCGAUGAAGGACGUGCUAAUCUGCGAUAAGCGCCGGUAAGGUGAUAUGAACCGUUAUAACCGGCGAUUUCCGAAUGGGGAAACCCAGUGUGACUCGUCACACUAUCAUUAACUGAAUCCAUAGGUUAAUGAGGCGAACCGGGGGAACUGAAACAUCUAAGUACCCCGAGGAAAAGAAAUCAACCGAGAUUCCCCCAGUAGCGGCGAGCGAACGGGGAGGAGCCCAGAGCCUGAAUCAGCAUGUGUGUUAGUGGAAGCGUCUGGAAAGGCGCGCGAUACAGGGUGACAGCCCCGUACACAAAAGCGCAUGUGCUGUGAGCUCGAUGAGUAGGGCGGGACACGUGGUAUCCUGUCUGAAUAUGGGGGGACCAUCCUCCAAGGCUAAAUACUCCUGACUGACCGAUAGUGAACCAGUACCGUGAGGGAAAGGCGAAAAGAACCCCGGCGAGGGGAGUGAAAAAGAACCUGAAACCGUGUACGUACAAGCAGUGGGAGCACCCUUUGGGGUGUGACUGCGUACCUUUUGUAUAAUGGGUCAGCGACUUAUAUUCUGUAGCAAGGUUAACCGAAUAGGGGAGCCGGAGGGAAACCGAGUCUUAAUUGGGCGUUAAGUUGCAGGGUAUAGACCCGAAACCCG
rnacentral:rRNA from 1 species